GUCGUGUAUUGCAUCUGUUGGUCUUCAGUCAUGUGUUGUAAAGCGAUACACGGAUUAAGUGAAAGGUAUCUGAUGGCUGAAACUUAGAAAGUACAAAGGAUAGGGGAAUGCAGUUCUAGUGGAAAUGAACUGCUCUGGAUAAGCCUGAAGCAGCAUAUCUAAAGUUGCUCUUGGCUGUAACAUCAACUUACUAAAUUGACUGCAUUCUAAGAGAUGUGUUUCUGGCGCAAAAGAAUCACCUAUCACCAAGAGUGUGUCAAAAUGAAUGCCUAGCAGGAGUCCUGAUUUACAAACCAAUGCUGCUCAGCAUGUCUGUCUGGUCUUUGGAACCCAGAAAGUGUAUUAUUUUCAUAUUAAUAUACCCUGCCCGAUGGACAUGCCAUCCACUGGAAAACUGAAUGUCCUGAAAAGAAGUUAUGUUUUCAUAAUUCUUUGCUACAGUGUGUGUGCAAUAUUGUAUUCAGCAUAGCACAUCAUGUGCAUUAACUCACGGGCUACCUGCAUACAAGUCAAGAACACCCUAACAUAUAAAUACUUUUCACAAGUGGCAUCCUCUUGUCUGGACACAGAGUGCUCCCUGCUCUUCAGAGAACGCAAAUUUUGUAAAACAUUAUCCCAAAAAUUGAGCCUAUAAGAUACUUGGCUCCUUGGUCCCCACUGUGACUGUCCCCAUCUUCCCCAUCAUGAAUAAAAACCAAUUUUUUUAAUGUGUAAAACUUCCCAGAUAUAUUCAUUGCUCAAAAGAGAGAAGAAAUCCAACAUCUCGCCCCAAAACACAGCAAACCCUGUGUCUUAUGCAUGUAUUCAGAGAGGUGUAAUUUAUAUUUGGGCUACUAUAUGCUGGGUCAUACUGAACAUAAAAUCAUUAUUUAAAAUUAAAGGUUCUGGGGGGGGGGAUUAUUAACAACAUGUAAAGACUGAAACCACAAAUGUUGAAAGUAUUUUUGUAAGUGCUUUUCAUUUUUGUUCCAUAUCACAUUUAUGAAGUUUCUGAAGUGAGGGCUCCAUAUAAGGUGUAACAGCUCAGCUACUGACAGGUAUAUGUCUGCAGGCACAAUUUCUACAUAUAGUACAGCCCUCAAGAGUCCUACAACUGCUAGAUAUAUGUGCUGGAAGUUACAUUCAUGUUGGGACUCUAUGAAAUAAAAAUCACAAUCAAUUAUAUUGUCUAAAACAUUCAUGAUAGUGCCCUAUCAUCAGACAUUGGCACAGAUCAUUGCACCAUUAGUAGAAAGUGUCUAUUUUAACACAUCAUGGGAACCAAACCUUCUGUAUCAGAGGUUCCUAAGAACACACAGAAAUUUUAUUUUGUAUGGUUGUCUAUUCUGAGAUAUGACAUACCCUCAAAGAUGUUUUGACAGACAGUGCCCUAAAUACCUUGCAAGUUACAUUUUGAAUUUCUUAUAUGGUUGUACAUUCACCAGUCCAAAGAAACAUCAUCCAUAAUUAAAUACAUUCACUUCUGUGUUUAAGGAAUGUAAGGUACUUGUAGGAAACAUGGCUAAUGGCUUCAUGUGUAAUUCUGGCUUUGAAAAAAAUUACACCUUCAAUAUUUCAUGUGACUUUAUACAGUCAGUAAAGUUGGAAGCAAUUUCCAGAAAUGUCAAAUCUGGUUAGAACACCCUUUCUUUCCAAAGCAUCAGCACUAUAAUAUGCAGCUGAAAAGUUUCUCUCUGUUCAUAAUCAAAUUACAUCACAUAAUUUUACUUCUAUCAUGAGAUGUGUGUGAAUAUGGAAAUAAGUAUACUACAUAAAAGUGAUUAUAUAUAAAAAGAAAGCUGUUACCAAUAUGACCACCCCAGACUGUAUUAAAGACCAGGCCAAGACAUAUUAAGAGAAUUUCUUUUUAGUGAUGUAUAUUUAUUAAGAUUAUUUUACUUAACUGAAAAUGAUUUCAGAUAAACAAUGAAAGGUCAAAUCAAAUAACCACUCAAUUCUCUUGUGACUAGGUAGCAGAAAAAAGAAAACUGGGAUGAAUAUGCUUUUCAAAAUGCUAUCAAGAUAGUGAAAUAAUGUCUUGUCCACAAAUGCAAGUAAACAGGUUGGACAGCCUAGGAGGAUAUUCAAGAAACAUCUGAAAGAAGACAGAAAAACCUCCUUUGGGUCAAAUUGGCAGAAGUGCAAGAACAAGACAUCUCUCACAUGAUAACUCUCUUAUGUCAGCUGCAUUUGUUUCCUAAUUCAAAAUGUGUACUAUAUAU